rnacentral:rRNA from 1 species
UACGUAGGGUGCAAGCGUUAAUCGGAAUUACUGGGCGUAAAGCGUGCGCAGGCGGUGAUGUAAGACAGAUGUGAAAUCCCGGGCUCAACCUGGGAACUGCAUUUGUGACUGCAUCGCUGGAGUGCGGCAGAGGGGGAUGGAAUUCCGCGUGUAGCAGUGAAAUGCGUAGAUAUGCGGAGGAACACCGAUGGCGAAGGCAAUCCCCUGGGCCUGCACUGACGCUCAUGCACGAAAGCGUGGGGAGCAAACAGG